GUUAGACAGUAAAUACAGAGUGGUCAUUAAGGAGCAGGUAGGGGUUAGACAGUGUUCACAGAGACAUGUCAUUAAGGAGCAAGUAGGGGUUAGACAGUGUUCACAGAGACAGGUCAUUAAGGAGCAGGUAGGGGUUAGACAGUGUUCACAGAGACAGGUAAUUAAGGACCAGGUAGGGGUUAGACAGUGAAUACAGAGACAGGUCAUUAAGGACCAGGUAGGGGUUAGACAGUGAACACAGAGACAGGUCAUUAAGGAGCAGGUAGGGGUUAGACAGUGUUUACAGAGACAGGUCAUUAAGGACCAGGUAGGGGUUAGACAGUGAACACAGAGACAGGUCAUUAAGGAGCAGGUAGGGGUUAGACAGUGAACACAGAGACAGGUCAUUAAGGAGCAGGUAGGGGUUAGACAGUGAACACAGAGACAGGUCAUUAAGGAGCAGGUAGGGGUUAGACAGUGUUCACAGAGACAGGUCAUUAAGGAGCAGGGAGGGGUUAGACAGUAAAUACAGACAGCGGUCAUUAUUUUGUUCCUUUGUGCUUUCGGUCAUUCAUUCUUCUUCCUCUUGCCGAGCUCCUGUAAUAUAUUUUGAGUUAGUUU
ensembl:lncRNA